rnacentral:rRNA from 1 species
AUUGAACGCUGGCGGCACGCUUAACACAUGCAAGUCGAACGGCAGCGCGGAGAGCUUGCUCUCUGGCGGCGAGUGGCGGACGGGUGAGUAACGCGUAGGGAUCUACCCUUGAGUUUGGGAUAACCCGAGGAAACUCGGGCUAAUACCGUAUAACAACUCUGCGGAGAAAAGCUGGGGAUCUUUUUAUUAAGACCUGGCGCUUGAGGAAGAACCUGCGUCGGAUUAGCUAGUUGGUGGGGUAAAGGCCUACCAAGGCAACGAUCCGUAGCUGGUCUGAGAGGACGAACAGCCACACUGGGACUGAGACACGGCCCAGACUCCUACGGGAGGCAGCAGUGGGGAAUAUUGGACAAUGGGGGAAACCCUGAUCCAGCGAUGCCGCGUGUGUGAAGAAGGCCUGCGGGUUGUAAAGCACUUUCAGUAGUGAAGAGAGGUUGAGACCGAAUAAGUUUCAGCUGAGACGUUAACUACACAAGCAGCACCGGCUAACUCUGUG